AUGGAUUCCAUCUUGGCGAAUGAAACUUGGGAGAUAACUGAUCGUCCUUAUGGGUGCAAACCUACAGGAUGCAAAUGGGUAUUCAAGAAGAAGCUUAGGCCUGAUGGUAUUAUCGAAAAGUACAAGGCUCGGCUCGUGGCUAAGGGUUAUACCCAAAAGGAAGGUGAAGACUUCUUUGAUACUUACUCACCUGUGGCUCGACUGACCACUAUUCGAGUUCUACUUUCACUAGCCGCCUCACAUGGUCUUCUCGUUCAUCAGAUGGAUGUUAAGACUGCUUUCCUAAAUGGAGAGUUGGAUGAGGAAAUUUAUAUGGAACAACCAGAUGGGUUUGUAAUAGAUGGUCAGGAAGGGAAAGUGUGCAAGUUGCUGAAGUCUUUGUAUGGACUCAAGCAAGCACCCAAACAGUGGCAUGAGAAGUUCGAAAGAACUUUAACAGCUGCAGGCUUUGUUGUGAACGAAGCUGGCAAAUGUGUGUACUAUCGCCAUGGUGGGGGCAAGGGAGUUAUGCUUUGCUUGUAUGUUGAUGACAUACUGAUUUUCGGAACAAAUUUGAAUGUUAUUAAGGAGGUCAAGGAUUUUCUAUCUCGCUGUUUUGAGAUGAAGGAUUUAGGAGUGGCUGAUGUCAUUCUGAACAUCAAGUUGUUGAGAGAUGAUGAUGGUGGGAUUACAUUGCUUCAAUCUCACUAUGUGGAAAAGAUCUUGAGUCGCUUUGGCUAUAGUGACUGCAAGCCCUCUCCAACACCAUAUGAUGCUAGUGUGCUGCUUCGAAAGAAUCGAAGAAUUGCUAGAGAUCAAUUGAAGUAUUCUCAGAUUAUUGGCUCGCUUAUGUACUUAGCCAGUGCUACAAGACCUGACAUCUCUUUUGCUGUUAGCAAACUGAGUCGGUUUGUCUCAAAACCAGGAGAUGUGCAUUGGAAAGCUCUAGAGAGAGUUUUGCGUUAUUUGAAAGGCACUGCAAAUUAUGGAAUUCACUACACCGGGCACCCAAAGGUGCUUGAAGGGUAUAGUGACUCAAACUGGAUCUCAGAUGCUGAUGAGAUAAAGGCCACGAGCGGAUAUGUAUUCACUCAUGGAGGUGGCCCUGUUUCUUGGAUGUCUUGCAAGCAGAUCAUCUUAACGAGGUCAACAAUGGAAGCAGAACUCACAGCACUAGAUACAGCUACGGUUGAAGCAGAUUGGCUUCGCCGGCUCUUGAAUGACUUGCCGGUUGUUGAGAAACCUGUACCGGGUGUCCUUAUGAACUGCGACAAUCAAACUAUGAUCACGAAAGUGAGCAGCUCAAAGGAUAACAUGAAGUCAUCAAGACAUGUUCAAAGAAGAUCCUUUUACUAA
rnacentral:rRNA from 1 species